rnacentral:rRNA from 1 species
UACAGAGGUCUCAAGCGUUGUUCGGAUCAUUGGGCGUAAAGGGUGCGUAAGCGGCGCGGUAAGUCGGGGUGUGAAAUCUCGGAGCUUAACUCCGAAACUGCAUUCGAUACUGCCGUGCUUGAGGACUGGAGAGGAGACUGGAAUUUACGGUGUAGCGGUGAAAUGCGUAGAUAUCGUAAGGAAGACCAGUGGCGAAGGCGGGUCUCUGGACAGUUCCUGACGCUGAGGCACGAAGGUCAGGGGAGCAAACGGG